rnacentral:sRNA from 1 species
AAAGGCUGAUUACCUACACCUACAAUAGC